rnacentral:rRNA from 1 species
CAGGACGAACGCUGGCGGCGUGCUUAACACAUGCAAGUCGAGCGGAGAAUAUAGCAAUAUAUCUUAGCGGCGGACGGGUGAGUAACGCGUGGGUAACCUGCCUUUUACUGGGGGAUAACACUGGGAAACUAGUGCUAAUACCGCAUAAAAUAGUGAAGUGGCAUCACUUUACUAUCAAAGGAGCAAUCCGGUAAAAGAUGGACCCGCGUCCGAUUAGCUAGUUGGAGGGGUAACGGCCCACCAAGGCGACGAUCGGUAGCCGAACUGAGAGGUUGAUCGGCCACAUUGGGACUGAGACACGGCCCAGACUCCUACGGGAGGCAGCAGUGGGGAAUAUUGCGCAAUGGGGGGAAAAACCCCUGACGCAGCAACGCCGCGUGAAGGAUGAAGGUUUUCGGAUUGUAAACUCCUUUGAUUGGGGACGAUAAUGACGGUACCCAAAAAACAAGCCACGGCUAACUACGUGCCAGCAGCCGC